rnacentral:rRNA from 1 species
AUGGCAUCUGGCGGGGUCAGGGGGGUUAACGCCCUUGCCAUGGUCGAGGAAGCUGGCUCAUGGAGUUCCCGGAGGCCGGCCUUAAGAUAUGUGCAGCAGCGAGCGAGUGGAAAGAUAGCUUGUGCGGUCGGGAGACAAUUGAUGUGUAUUAACACCUACCCCCUGCCAGGUGACAACGAUGUGCUUUGCAGUUUACUCCUAGGCAUGGCCACACGAUCUGCAACGGUGCAGUCACCGCAUGGUCCCUCAUUUGCGCAUUUAUAUGACCCAAGUACUGAUGAUGUCGGUCUCAUUCCCUUUUGUUUGGCCUACAUGAGCGCAUCUAUGUGGAUCUCGGCUGCAAAUGAUUACAUAGAAGCUCCUUUAGUAUUUGGUUGUUUAGAGGAUUUAGCUUUUAUUAUUAGGGUAAUACUACGCUACUACGGGAAGAUGCCACAAUCUCCGCAGGCAAGUGGUGGUGGUGAGUCUGUCAUGGAGGGCAGAUUCGACGAUGGAGUGGCUAUCACUGCAGAAGGCAUGCCGCUAGCCACACAGACGACCAUCUGCGCCGCCCUCGGCAAUAAUUAUGUAACCAGCAAGGACCUGCGAUGGCUUGCGUCGUGCAAAGGCACUGGUGGCGGCCUAGAUCCAUGUGUAAUACAUAUGGUAUGUGGUGGUGUUGAUGGUGGGCAGGGAUUGUUUGGAUGCAGCUUGCAGUUGUGCCGCGAGGUGGGACCUAGCCGUGUAGAUGCAGAUGGACAUUGGAGGUACAGUGUUGGCACUGACGACUUGGAUAAAAAUAUUUUUGUAUGCACUCCGGUGCGCAUCAUAUAUCCUCUUGGCCAUGCCGGUCAUAACAACAACUUUCUUCAGGCUGGUGAUGCUCAUAUUGUCAAUCAUUCUCACUGUGGUGCCUGA